CGAGCGCGUAAACGGAAGAGCGAGCGUGCCACGCCUCCGCCGCCAUACUGGAAUGAGUUGUGUUGACUUUUUGUAAACGUUCGCGUUUGGCUUCAGGAAACUUUGUUCUUGGACGCUCGGACGGUUCUGUUCUCUAUAAAUCAAAAUGAGCAUGGAAGAGGAUGCGGAGGUGCACACCAAGACUGGCAAAAAAAGCAAUGUGCUGCCGCUGUGGGGCAACGAGCGCACCAUGAACAUGAACAACCUCAUCCUCACCAACAUUCAAGCUUCACAUUACUUUAAAAUGAAUUUAUACGAGCUGAAGACUUACCACGAAGUGGUCGACGAAAUCUACUACAAAGUCAGCCAUUUGGAGCCCUGGGAGAAGGGCAGUCGGAAAACCGCGGGUCAGACGGGCAUGUGCGGCGGCGUCCGAGGGGUCGGCGCCGGCGGCAUCGUGUCCACGGCUUACUGCCUCCUGUACAAAUUGUUCACCCUAAAGCUGACGAGGAAGCAGCUGAACGGGCUGCUCACCCAUCCUGACUCGCCAUUCAUAAGGGGGCUCGGAUUUAUGUACAUUAGAUACACUCAACCUCCUGCUGAUCUCUGGGACUGGUAUGAUGAAUUUUUGGAGGAUGAAGAGGAAUUGGACGUGAAGGCCGGCGGCGGGCAGGUGAUGACGAUCGGCAACAUGCUGCGCCACUUCCUGACCAAGCUCGAGUGGUUCUCGACCCUCUUCCCGCGCAUCCCCGUGCCCAUUCAGCAAAAGCUGGAGCGUCAGUUGAGUGACAGAUUCCCAGCACCCCCGCCAGGAGCUGCUGCGCACGCUGCUGUGCAGAGGGCCCCUGAGCGGCGCAGGGACUUUGAGGAGUACCCUGAGGAACGAGCGCCGCCGCCACCACCACCUAGAGUCAGACGGUCGCCUAGUCACGGACGUGAUUCUCCAGCCCAUAAAAGAAGCCGAGCCUCGCCGCCGCCAAGCAGGAGUGACCGACACAAAGAACGGCGCAGCAGGAGCAGAAGUAGGGACAGAGAAAGAGAGAGGCACGGAGACCGCGGUCGUAAUAGAGACCGAAGCAGUAGAAAUGGACACAGCAGACAUCACAAAUCUUCUAAAGAUGACCAGUGAUUCGAGGCACCGGUCGCAUAGCAGUCGAGACUAUGCCUCGGAGUUGCUCAAAGAAAGAGAGCGGCAAAGACGUGAAAGGGACGGCAGCAGGUGAGAUCGCCGCCACCCUCUCACCGGUAGACAAAUUCAGAGAGCAGCGUUUGUGUAACGGACGAUGUCUAAUGUAAUAUAUAUUUCCUGCUAAGCGA